GAUUUUUUUUAUUUAUUGUCAAUACUAUCUCCAUCACCACUAUUCGACCACCAUUGCUAUUUCCAACGCUACUUCCACUCUAUCACCAUGAUGACCACCAUCAUGGUCCUGUUACCAACAUCGCUGUCACCGUCACUUAGCCACCAUUAUUACCACUUAUUUAUUGUUGCUACUUAUUUAUUAUUACCUUUGCCACCACCUGGCCACUGCUAACACCGUUAUCUCACCUUGACACCAACACCACCAUCUAGUUAUCAUUGUUGCCAUCACCACCACCACAACUAUCACUCGAC
rnacentral:misc_RNA from 1 species